CCUACGGGAGGCAGCAGUGGGGGAUAUUGCACAAUGGGGGAAACCCUGAUGCAGCGACGCCGCGUGGGUGAAGAAGCACUUCGGCACGUAAAGCUCUAUCAGCAGGGAAGAAGAUGACGGUACCUGAGUAAGAAGCCCCGGCUAACUACGUGCCAGCAGCCGCGGUAAUACGUAGGGGGCAAGCGUUAUCCGGAUUUACUGGGUGUAAAGGGGGCGUAGACGGUGAGACAAGUCAGAAGUGAAAGCCCGGGGCUCAACCCCGGGACUGCUUUUGAAACUGCCUGGCUGGAGUGCUGGAGAGGCAGGCGGAAUUCCUGGUGUAGCGGUGAAAUGCGUAGAUAUUAGGAAGAACACCAGUGGCGAAGGCGGCUUGCUGGACAGUAACUGACGUUGAGGCUCGAAAGCGUGGGGAGCAAACAGGAUUAGAUACCCUGGUAGUC
rnacentral:rRNA from 1 species